rnacentral:tRNA from 1 species
AGAGAUGGGGUCGAUCUGGACAGACGCCUCCCUGUCACGGAGGAAGAGCAGGUUCGAGUCCUGCCUUCUCUC